rnacentral:rRNA from 1 species
UUACGGCCAUAUCACAUUGAAACACCGUUUUCCGUACGAUCACCGAAAGUAAGCAACGUCGAGCCUGGUCAGUACCUAUAUGGGUGAUCGAUUGGGAAUACCAGGUGCUGUAAG